rnacentral:rRNA from 1 species
GGUUAAAAAGCUCGUAGUUGGAUCUCGGCGGGCAGGGGGUGGUUCGCUCUUCAGCGCUACUGCCCCGCUUUGCCCGUGUGAUUGGCGGAGGUUUCGGGGUGCUCUUCGUUGAGUGACUCGGAGCGCCGUCAGGUUUACUUUGAAAAAAUUAGAGUGCUCAAAGCAGGCUUUUCACGCUUGAAUAUUCGUGCAUGGAAUAAUGGAAUAGGAACUCGUUUCUAUUUUGUUGGUUUUCGGAAAUCGAGUUAAUGAUUAACAGGGACAAUUGGGGGCAUUAGUAUUCAGACGACAGAGGUGAAAUUCUUGGACCGUCUGAAGACUAACUACUGCGAAAGCAUUUGCCAAGAGUGUUUUCAUUAAUCAAGAACGAAAGUUAGAGGUUCGAAGGCGAUCAGAUACCGCCCUAGUUCUAACCAUAAACGAUGCCAGCUAGCGAUCUGCCGAGUUUUUUUUGUAGGCUCCGCAGGAAGCUUUCGGGAAACCAAAGCUUUUGGGUUCCGGGGGAAGUAUGGUUGCAAAGCUGAAACUUAAAGGAAUUGACGGAAGGGCACCACCAGGAGUGGAGCCUGCGGCUUAAUUUGACUC